rnacentral:rRNA from 1 species
CAAUAGCGUAUAUUAAUGUUGCUGCAGUUGAAAAGCUCGUAGUUGGAUUUCGGAAGUGACUUGGCCGCACUCAGUGCCGCAAGGCGUUGGGAAGAAGCGAGCCUUUGUGUUGCUUUCAUAACGCGCAUUUUUCGGAAUGCGCCGUUUACUUUGAAAAAAUUAGGGUGUUCAAAGCAGGCCGUUUGAGGGCCGUUGGAUAGAUUAGCAUGGAAUAAUGAUAGAUGACGCUCGUCUUGAUUUGUUGGUUAUCGAGGCAGGGCGUAAUGGUUAAUAGGGACAGUUGGGGGCAUUCGUAUUUCGUUGUCAGAGGUGGAAUUCUUGGAUUUGCGAAAGACGAGCCAAAGCGAAAGCAUUUGCCAAAGAUGUUUUCAUUAA